rnacentral:rRNA from 1 species
AACGCGAAGAACCUUACCUGGGCUCGAACGGCUAGUGACAGGGGUGGAAACAUCCUUUUCCCGCAAGGGACACUAGUCGAGGUGCUGCAUGGCUGUCGUCAGCUCGUGUCGUGAGAUGUUGGGUUAAGUCCCGCAACGAGCGCAACCCUCAUCUUCAGUUGCCCCCGGGUCAGGCCGGGCACUCUGAAGAAACCGCCGGUGACAAGCCGGAGGAAGGCGGGGAUGACGUCAAGUCCUCAUGGCCCUUACGGACUGGGCUACACACGUACUACAAUGGUGGUGACAGUGGGCUGCGAAGGAGCAAUCCGGAGCCAAAUCCCCAAAAGCCAUCUCAGUUCAGAUUGCACUCUGCAACUCGAGUGCAUGAAGUUGGAAUCGCUAGUAAUCGCAGAUCAGCACGCUGCGGUGAAUACGUUCCCGGGCCUUGUACACACCGACUGUAC